GGGGCCUUAGCUCAUUUGGUAGAGCGUCUGUCUGGCAGACAGAAGGUGACGGGUUCGAAUCCCGUAGGCUCCACCA
rnacentral:tRNA from 1 species